AAGAAAGGGUCUUUUGAGUCUUGGAGGUUGAGCAGACAGCUUUCCCACCCCCCGCCCCCGGGACCAAGACUUGGGGCAGCUGGCCACACCGCAGAAGGCCAGCCCAAGGCUGGCUUACAGGUGUGUACCAUCAUAGUCAGCUCAUUCUAGGGGCUAGAGGCAUAUCAGUGCUCUUGUGUCCUCUGCCACCCUAUGCUCCGUGAUCAAGAAACUCCUGCUGGGCAAGUCAUCACCUCACCACACAGAUGCUCAAACUAAUACCAGAGCUCAAUACACCCCAGAUGCAGCACCGUGGCUGCCGUUCAUGUGCUGGGGCCAGGAGCAGCC